rnacentral:lncRNA from 1 species
ACUAGCUCAAUCUGCAACGUCUUUGCACUGACCAGGGCUCCAUUUCCUUUACCAGAGGGCUAUGAUGGAAAAGAUGUGGAGUUCACCUGGCUGAGAGGGAACGACUCUGCAUGGGCUGGAAACCCUGUGGCUUGCUUAGUACACCAUACAGUGGUAUUUCACCUUGGUCACCAGAUCGCAGCAGGAGACAGGUGUAGCUGGUGGGGAUGGACUGAGUCGGAAGAGGAGGAGGCUCCUGAAGAGCAGCUAAUUCUUGCCUUUUGCUUGACUGUGGUCUAAGGACAUGGAAGGACAGUGAUCUGAUGAUGGACCACCGCGUAAGGUAUUUGUGGAUGCAUUUUUUCUUAAUACUAGGUGUUUUGAGAUAAUGCCACUUGCUCUGUCUAUUACUAUUCUCUGUGUGGACUGGACACGUCGCCUGACUGUUGAUGACAGCCAUUGGGCCUCGUUUCUUGAUUCGGUGAAGUUAAAUUAUCGAAGGCCCCAAGCAUGAAGAGUUUGGUCUGUUUCUACUUCUCUGUCUUCCCAGUUCAAUGAAGGUGGCCAGUGGGGUUAUGUGUCAUCUCUGCAGUAUCCAGUUUGCCCUCAGGUGAGCUGUUUUGAGGACAGGAACAGUAGACUGGAGCAUAGGGAGUUAGCACCAUCAUUGGGUCUUUCAUAAAAAGCUUCAUCUUUCAAACUACCCUUUAUUAGUAAUAAAAGCAAUAUUUGAACCUCCAUUUCCCUUAUUCCUUUGGAUUAUUUUUCUUUUCUUUUCUUUUUUUUUUUUUUUUUUUUUUUUUUUUUUUUUUUUUUUUUUUUUUGCUGUUGCAAGAUUUAAUAGGGU